rnacentral:rRNA from 1 species
UACGUAGGGGGCGAGCGUUGUCCGGAUUCAUUGGGCGUAAAGAGCUCGUAGGCGGCUUGGCAAGUCGGGUGUGAAAACUCCAGGCUCAACCUGGAGAUGCCACCCGAUACUGCUAUGGCUUGAGUUCGGUAGGGGACCACGGAAUUCCUGGUGUAGCGGUGAAAUGCGCAGAUAUCAGGAGGAACACCGGUGGCGAAGGCGGUGGUCUGGGCCGAAACUGACGCUGAGGAGCGAAAGCGUGGGGAGCGAACAGG